CUAGCACUCCCUCUAUUCCAAAAUUCUUGUCUUAAAUUUAUCUAAAUACAGAUGUAUCAAGCCACGUUUUAAUAUUAGAUACGUCCGUAUCUAGACUAAUAAAGAUAGGAAUUUUGAAACGGAGGGAGUACAAU
rfam:Triticum aestivum genome assembly, contig: Triticum_aestivum_CS42_TGACv1_scaffold_321572_4BL